ACUAGGCAAAAUAGCACCGUAACUUCGGGAGAAGGUGCGCUGCUGACGGUGAAGGCCUUGCGCCGUAAGCUGUUGGCAGCCGAAGUAACCAGGCCGCUGCGACUGUUUAUUAAAAACACAGCACUCUGCAAACACGAAAGUGGACGUAUAGGGUGUGACGCCUCCCCGGUGCCGGAAGGUUAAUUGAUGGGGUCAGCCGCAAGGCGAAGCUCUUGAUCGAAGCCCCGGUAAACGGCGGCCGUAACGAUAACGGUCCUAAGGUAGCGAAAUUCCUUGUCGGGUAAGUUCCGACCUGCACGAAUGGCGUAACGAUGGCGGCGCUGUCUCCACCAGAGACUCAGUGAAAUCGAAAUCGCGGUGAAGAUGCCGUGUACCCGUGGCUAGACGGAAAGACCCCGUGAACCUUUACUGUAGCUUCACACUGGACUUUGACAUGAUCUGUGUAGGAUAGCUGGGAGGCUUUGAAGUGGUGACGCCAGUUGCCAUGGAGCCGUCCUUGAAAUACCAGCCUGGUCCUGUCGGGGUUCUAACGUCGACCUGUUAUCCAGGUUACGGACAGUGUGUGGUGGGCAGUUUGACUGGGGCGGUCUCCUCCCAAAGAGUAACGGAGGAGCACGAAGGUGCGCUAAUCACGGUCGGAAAUCGUGAGGUUAGUGUAAAGGCACAAGCGCGCUUGACUGCGAGACAGACAAGUCGAGCAGGUACGAAAGUAGGUCUUAGUGAUCCGGUGGUUCUGUAUGGAAGGGCCAUCGCUCAACGGAUAAAAGGUACUCCGGGGAUAACAGGCUGAUACCGCCCAAGAGUUCAUAUCGACGGCGGUGUUUGGCACCUCGAUGUCGGCUCAUCACAUCCUGGGGCUGAAGCCGGUCCCAAGGGUAUGGCUGUUCGCCAUUUAAAGUGGUACGCGAGCUGGGUUUAGAACGUCGUGAGACAGUUCGGUCCCUAUCUGCCAUGGGCGUUGGAGAUUUGAGAAGAGUUGCUCCUAGUACGAGAGGACCGGAGUGAACGAACCUCUGGUGUACCGGUUGUCACGCCAGUGGCAUUGCCGGGUAGCUAAGUUCGGACGGGAUAACCGCUGAAAGCAUCUAAGCGGGAAGCCUCCUUCAAGAUGAGAUCUCCCUGGAGCUUUAAGCUCCCUAAAGGGCCGUCGAAGACUACGACGUUGAUAGGCGAGGUGUGGAAGCGUUGUGAGACGUUGAGCUGACUCGUACUAAUUGCCCGUGCGGCUUGACC
rnacentral:rRNA from 1 species